rnacentral:rRNA from 1 species
UUCCGGUUGAUCCCGCCGGAGGCUACCGCUAUUGGAGUUCGAUUAAGCCAUGCGAGUCGAGAGUCUUAGGGACUCGGCGCACCGCUCAGUAACACGUGGGUAACCUGCCCUAUGCUGGGGGAUAACCUCGGGAAACUGAGAAUAAUACCCCAUAGUUCACCACGCCUGGAACGGUGGGUGGAUGAAAGCUCCGGCGGCAUAGGAUGGGCCUGCGGCGUAUCAGGUUGUAGGGGGUGUAAUGUACCCUCUAGCCAUCUACGCGUACGGGUGUUGGGAGACAUCGCCCGGAGAUGGAUUCUGAGACACGAAUCCAGACCCUACGGGGUGCAGCAGGCGCGAAAACUUGGCAAUGCGAGCAAUCGUGACCAGGGAACUCCAAGUGCAUCGGGUAAGACCGAUGCUUUUCUUGACUCUUCAAAGGUCUUGGAAUAAGGGGUGGGUAAGGACGGUGCCAGCCGCCGCGGUAAUACCGGCGCCUCAAGUGGUAGUCGCUUUUAUUGGGCCUAAAACGUCCGUAGCCGGUUUGGUACAUUCGUGGGUAAAUCAAGGCGCUCAACGUCUUGAAUUCUGCGAGCACGGCCAGACUUGGGACCGGGUGAGGUGUGGGGUACUCUCAGGGUAGGGGUAAAAUCCUGUCAUCCUGAGAGGACCACCUGUUGCGAAGGCGCCACACUAGAACGGAUCCGACGGUCAGGGACGAAGCCUAGGGGCACGAACCGGAUUAGAUACCCGGGUAGUCCUAGGUGUAAACGCUGUGGACUUGAUGUUGGGAGUGCUCCGAGCACCCUCAGUGUCGAAGCGAAGGUGAUAAGUCCACUGCCUGGGGAGUACGGUCGCAAGGCUGAAACUUAAAGGAAUUGGCGGGGGAGCACUGCAACCUGAGGAUUGUGCGGUUUAAUUGGAGUCAACGCCGG